CAUUCUCAGGGCGGGGUGAAAGUCCCCACCGGCGGUAAUCGCAAUGAGUAGUAAUCGUUGUGUAGCCCGCGGGCGCUUCUACCAAGGUAGAAGGACAAGCAGAUCUGGUGAGAUUCCAGAGCCGACAGUUAAAGUCUGGUUAUGAGGAU
rnacentral:ncRNA from 1 species